GCAGACACAUUCCAGCCAAUCAGCAGCAGACCCUCCCUCCAGACCCUCCCACCUCCUGGACAGCAUCCAUUUUACAUUCAUUGUGAAGCUGCAUUCUUAGUGAGCUGUCCAGGAGGUGGGAGGGUCUGGGAGGGAGGGUCUGCUGCUGAUUGGCUGGAAUGUGUCUG